rnacentral:misc_RNA from 2 species
CACCACUCAAGCCUGGCUUGGUAUUGGGCGUCGCGGCCGCCGCGCGCCUCAAAGUCUCCGGCUGGGUUCUUCACCUCUAAGCGUUGUGACACAAUCUAUCCGCUUCGUGAGUGUGGGGGGCCCGCGCCGUUAAACGAUUUUAUUUAA